CUUUCGCCAUGCGCUCCUGGCGGGCCGGACAUGGAGGCGGGAAGCGGCACCGGGACCACGUUAAGAGUGGCCGGGAACCGCGUUGGGACCGCUGCGAGCGGCUCCUCGCAGAAAGAUGGCUUGAAGUAAAAAAGAGCCUGGCUUUCCAGAUGAAGGUGACAUAGGGAGUAGGCUGCUCUUUGGAGAUGGCCCUAAUGUGAAGGUAAGCAAUGAAUUUCACUGACCCAUGUGGAGCUUUAUACCACGUGGAAUCUAAAUUGAGAAUGAAUGAGGUUUAUAGGCUACAAAAAGCUUGAGAAGCAUGUUUUGUGAGUUAUUUCAUAGCUUGAAUCAAUCUGCUCUCCUGCCUUUCUUCCCUCAACAGUCAAAGCCUGAUACUUAUUUCCUGGUAUCUAUAUUUAGGUGUAGUUGCCAGUCUCUGCUGCCGUGUACUAAUUGUUCCUCAUGUCUACCAGGUGAUGUUAUAGCUCUCCACAAGUCCUGCAGAAGGCAGUGAGACAGCAAAAGCAGGAGAUUCCUCUGGGUGUUUAUGCUGAGAACAUCUUGUCUGAGGAAGAAGCAAUCCAGUAAAACACGUGCGUGAGCUUGGGGACUAGUGUUUGUAAAGACCAUGUCUUUUUCUGCCCUAAAAUGUUAAGAAAUGAUAACAGUUACACUGUUUUGAUGACACAUACAUUAAAAUCCGAUCUCAAAACAAA
rnacentral:lncRNA from 1 species